GACGAACGCUGGCGGCGUGCUUAACACAUGCAAGUCGAACGGAAAGGCCCUGCUUUUGUGGGGUGCUCGAGUGGCGAACGGGUGAGUAACACGUGAGUAACCUGCCCUUGACUUUGGGAUAACUUCAGGAAACUGGGGCUAAUACCGGAUAGGAGCUCCUGCUGCAUGGUGGGGGUUGGAAAGUUUCGGCGGUUGGGGAUGGACUCGCGGCUUAUCAGCUUGUUGGUGGGGUAGUGGCUUACCAAGGCUUUGACGGGUAGCCGGCCUGAGAGGGUGACCGGCCACAUGGGGACUGAGAGACGGCCCAGACUGCUACGGGAGGCAGCAGUGGGGAAUAUUGCACAAUGGGAGGAGGCCUGAGGCAGCAACGCCGCGUGCGGGAUGACGGCCUUCGGGGUGUAAACCGCUUUCGCCUGUGACGAAGCGGGAGUGACGGUAAUGGGUAAAGAAGCACCGGCUAACUACGUG
rnacentral:rRNA from 1 species